rnacentral:sRNA from 1 species
GCGGGACUGCCCGGCACGAGCCGACGAAUAUCCCUGAGGCUAUAAGCAAUCCAUGGGAGCUGUCCCUGCCCGCGCUUCCGGGUCCGUCCCGGGGGCAUGGGUACACGGCGCCCACCUGACGUUAAGGCGUCAGAGGAUUUCAUGGCCACCGACCCAUGGUGGUUCCGCC